rnacentral:lncRNA from 1 species
AUGUAAAAUAAUAAAAUCAGAACAUUCUUUAACACCAUUUACAAAAAUAAACUCAAAAUGGAUUAAGAACCUAAACAUAAGGCCAGAUACAAUAAAACUCUUAGAGGAAAAUUAAGGCAGAACACUCUUUGCCAUAAAUCACCACAAUAUCCUUGUGUAUCUAUGUCCUAAGGUAAUGAAAAUUAAACCAAAAAUAAAUAGUUGGGACCUAAUUACACUUAAAAGUUUUGUACAGCAAACAAAACCAUAAAGAAAAUGAAAAGACAACCCUGAGAAGUGGAGAAACAUUUUGCUAACAAAGUGAACGACAAGGGAUUACUCUCCAAAAUAUACAAAUGGUUCAUGCAGCUCUAUAUCAAAAAAAAACCAAACAACCCAACCAAAAAAAGUCAGAAGUUCUAAAUAGACAUUUAUCCAAAGAAAAAAGAUAGAUGACCAGAAAGCAUAUGAAAAGAUGCUAAACCUCACUACAAUUAUCAGAGAAAUGCAAAUCAAAACUACAGUGAGGUAUCACCUCACAUCAGAAUGGCCAUCAUUAAAAAGUCUACAAGGGAGUUCCCAUUGUGGCUUGCAGAAACAAAUCUGACUAGUAUCCAUGAGGACACAGGUUUGAUCCCUGGCCUCACUCAGUGGGUUAAUGAUCUGGCAUUGCCCUGAUUUGUGGUGUAGUUUGCAGAUGCAGCUUGGUCCAAGUUGUUGUGGCUGUGGUGUAGACCAACAGUUAAAGCUCUAAUUCGACCCCUAGCCUGGGAACUUUCAUAUGCCUCAGAUGAGGCCCUAAAAAGACAAAAAAAAGUCUAAAAAUAAUAAAUUCUAGAGAGGAUGUGGAGAAAAUGGAAUCCUUCUACAAUGUUGGUGGAAAUAUAAGUUGAUACAACCACUAUGGAGAAAAGUAUGGAGAUUCCAUAAAAAAAGUAAAAAUAGAAUUAACAUCUCAUCCAGCAAUCCCAUCUACCCCUGGCCAUAUACCUGGGGAAAACCAUAAUUCAAAAAUAUAUAUGCACCAAAAUUUAUAAUAGCCAAGACAUGGAACAACCUAAAAGCCCAUCUGCAGAGGAAUGGAUAAAGAAGAUGUGCUCUAUAUAUACACACCCACGCAAUGGAAAAAAUGAACAAAAAUAUAUUAUACGGCCAUAAAAAGAUUGAAAUAAUGCCAGGUACACCAAAUUGAUGGACUUAUAGAUUAUUAUAGUAAGUCAAACAGAGAAAGACAAAUAUCAUAUAUCACUUAUGUGGAAUCUAAAAAAACAAUAAUACAAAUGAACUUAAUGUAAAAUUGAAAAAGACUCAGAGACUUCAAAAACAAACUUAUGGUUACCAAAGUGGGAAGAAGGGGGAGUAAAUUAGGUGUUUGGGAUUAACAUAUAUAUACUACUAUACAUAAAAUAGAUAAUGAGCAAAGACCUACUGUAUAGUUCAAGGAACUCUAUUCAAUAAUCUGUAAUAAUAUAUAUGGGAAAAGUAUUUACAAAGUACUGACAAUAUUAAAAAACUAUGGAUAUAUGUAUAUUAUAAUUAAUCAUUUUACUACAUACCUGAAAUUAACAUAUCAUUGUAAAUCAACUAUACUUCAAUGUAAAAUAAAGAUUAAAUAAAAAAGAAUUUUAUAUAAUAAGCCAGAACUAGUUUAGUAAGCUUUUAAUUACUCAUCACCUGAGAAGAUAUCAUCUCUUAGACAUUAAUAUAUGGGCAGUAACAGAAUUAUCAAUUUAACAUGUGCUUAAACUUGAAAAAAAAUGAGCAAAGAUAAAUCAUCACUCUUUUUCUAAGGACAUUUGCUUACAGAAACAGUGCAAAGGAAAGGUUAAUAAGCCAGGUGUAACAAACUUAUUUCAGCUUUGUCCAUUCACAGUAGUAGGAAAUUUAUCCACCAGUAUGUCUCUGUAAAACAAGUGUUCUAGCCUCUAUGCCAUACCCUCUUCCACAGCUGGUGACAUGCAACAGUCUCGUAAACUACUAGUUAGUGUGGUCAGUAGGGAAUAUGAAUAUGAAAAAUUGUGCAUUAGACCCAUGUGAAAUAAAUGCAGGAAGUAGAGUGAAUACUACCACCAGGGAACAAAUAGAGAAAACUUUCUAUGUUCUUAGAACAGCAGGUUAGUUAAUUCCAUGCAUGCUAUAAAUCUGUUUAUUUUACUGCUUGAUAUUUUUAAAAUUUUGCCCUCAGGUACUGGUGGUUCAAAAAACUUGACUUUCUAAUACGAAUUACGAACUGAAUUGCUAUUUCUCAACAAAGUUAAUAGUAAAAAAUGAGUGAUGCACAAAAUUUGAAAAAAGAAAAAUGGUAAUUUAACAUAGGCAGUUGAGAAUAUGCAUUUCCAUAUUACUCUAAAGUAAUAAUUAUUUUUUAGAUCAAAUAAUUAUUCUUCUAUAUUAAUUCUGUAAUUUUCAACUUAUAAGUUUUUGUGAAAGUAAAAGAAAAACUUAAAUGAUGGUUAUAGUAUCAGUUGCAUUAGCAACAGAAGUGAUUCACAAACAUUUAAAUGAUGCCAGAUUUAUAUUAACAAAUAUUUCAAGGAGACAAACAGGUCAAAUUACUAAUAAUAAUGCUAUGUUUUAUUAAUAAAAGUAAUAAAAUUAAAGCUUAUGAAAGUUCAUUGGACAUGAUUUUGAAUAGUUUUGUAAAUUCAAUUAAGCUUUACAUUGAAUUAAAAUUCAUUGUAUAUUUAGUAACAUUAGGAAAAUAUUGACACUAACAAAACACAUUUUGAGACAGAAUUUUUCUAAAUUACAAAUUCUAUUCAGCCAUUACUGAAAUUGGUAAUAUGAAUGAAUAAUUCAUAUUUGAAUCCAAAUGAGCAGUGAUAUUUUAGCAGUUUAAUAAGUUCUGUAAUUACUAAAUUUUACAUACACAAGAGUCCCUGAAAUAUAUAACUUUUGUGAUAAAACUGAUGUUUAAUCAUCAUCAUUUCAUCAUCAUCAUUUCUUUAGCAGGACAAUUACUUUCACUCUUUGUUUCCUAGCAUCAGCUGAAUUUUAGAAAGUUUUGAAAUUGCAAAGAGGUAUUCUGUAAAUCAAUUUGAGUAGGCUAUAAUUCUAUCAAUCUGUCUAUAUAUGAAUCUUUGGCAUCUGAUCACAUUUGUUUCAAAAUCAGUUGGAAAUCCUUAAAUAAUUUAAUGAACAAGAAAUGAAGAAAAAAUCACCUUUUUGCAGCUUCAGAGAAUUUUAAAUUAUGUUUUAGGCCAUACCAUGGCAUGUGAAAGUUCCUAGGCCAGAGAUCAAAGCCAUGCCACAAUAGCAACCUGGGCCAAUGCAGUUGACAAUGCUGGAUUCCUACCCCACUGCACAACAAGGGAACUCCAGAAUUUUAAUGACUAAAAAUAAAGUAUGUAAAUAGAGCAUAUUAGAGACAUACAUUGAAAUUUACUACUAUAAAGAUUUAUUAUGAAAUUUAUUACUAAGAGAGGAAAAAACUGAAUGAUUAAUGAAAGUUUAAAUAAGGUUCACAGUUUCAUUUUGAAAUUUUAUAAUUGCUACUUUUAUAUAUUUUGAGAAAAAUAUUUUGAUAGGGAUCUUAUGUUUAUUUGGAUAAAUUUAUAUUCUAUAGUGGAACAGAAUGCUACAGAGAGGCAUGAAAUUUGCCAUAUCUAAAUCUGAUAAAACAUUGAACAUAAAUAUUUAAAAACACCUUAUUCAUGAAAUUUUAGAUUGAAAAUAGAUCAGUUUUUAAAGUUCUCUGAAUAGAGGUAAAAAGCUUAAAAAUACUUUGGCUGAAUUUUUAUGUAUUUGAAUAUUAGUAAAAAUUAGAAUUGAGAAUAUAUCCCACUUAUUGCAACUUUCUGAGAUUUCUAUUAAUUUAGAAUUAUAUCCUAUUUUCUAAAUUAAAAAUCAUGUAGAAAGAAUAGUAUGAAAGUGAUAACAGAUUACUUUGAGCCCAGAUAGCAGAAGAGGAAGACCCUGAGCUCACCUCCUCCAAUGGGCAGACCAAAAUUACAACUAUAUAUAGACCAAAUAUUGAUGACUGAAAGAUCAGCAGAAAGGGUUUCUUACAACUAAUGAUAUAAAGAAAGAAGUACAAGAUGGUAGGAGAGGCAGAGACAUAGUAUAGUAUACCCUCAAGUGGGUGAACCACAAGCAGAAGAGUAAUUAUAAUUUCCAGAGGUUCUCCCCAAGGAGUGAGGGGUCCAAGCGCUAUAUAAAGCUCCUUAGUCUAUAGAUCCAUCACCAAGAAGAUGAGACCCCUUAUUUGGCUUUAUGAGCAUUAGGGUGUGCUUUCAGGAGAGCUAGAGUGCUAUAGGAAACAGAGACACCACUCUUAAAGGGUGUAGACAGAAUCUCACAUCUCAGGACCCAAAGAUGAGGCAGUAAUUUGAAAUGAACCAAAGUCAGACCCACCUGCUAAUCCUGAAGAGUCUCUUAGGAAUCAAGAGCUGGUUGGAGCUCACUCUGUGUAUGUGGAUGCUGGCAGCAACUGUUUGGGGGGAGGGGGGUGAUUAUUAUACCAUAUGGACAAUGUGCUGGCAAGCACUAUUUUGGAAUCCUUACUCUUGCUUAUUAGCACUGGUACUCUGCCAUAUCAAGCAGCUUGUCUGCAUCAAUACUGGGGCAGCUCAGGUCAAGCAACUAGCUUGGUGAGACACAGCCCACUCAGCUGGAGGCUGACUGCUUUAAGGCACUCUGAGUUCACAGCUACCAAAGAACCUGGCCCUGUCAACUAGAGGGGCAAGGUCCUGGCCCCACACAUCAGUCAUUGUAGCCCUGCAAAAUGCAGGGCCCUGCAGCCAGAGACCCCCAAAUCCUGCUCUGCCCACUAGUGGAACAGCACUAGCCCCAGGACCAGCCUCAUGUACCAGUCCAUAGGAAUCAACCCCAGGACCCCCUGGUCCCUAGCAGUGCCCAUCCAUGGGCCAACACAUCAAAACUUAGACCUCUAGGACCCUGUGGCAGAGAUCCUUGGAACUAGCUCUAUCUACCAGUGAGCCAGAACCAGCCCCAGUAUCCCCUAGGCUUCCAUCCCACCCACCAUUGGGCUUACACCAGCUCCAAGACACCCUGGACCCCUCAACCAGUCCUGGGAUUAAGCCCUACUGAUUAGCAGGCCACAUCAGCUUUGGGACAUGCCAGACCACACAGCCAGUCAUAUCAGAACUGGCCCCACCUCUUAGCAGGAUAAAGUAGAUCCAGGUACCUCAGCCCAACAACCACCCACUCCAGACCUGAUUCUCCCACCAGGGAGCCAAGAUUAGUCCUAAGAACCUCCAGGCUCUACAACCAGCCACCUUGUGACCUAGCCCCAUCCACCAAUAAACAACCCAUCUGAAAUAGAGUUCAAGGUAAUGGAUGUAAAUAUACUAAAAAUGGAUAAACAUAGUGAAACCUUUAAGAGUUGGAAAAUAUAAAGAAGAACCAAACAGAGCUGA